GUCGAACGGGAUUUAGUAGACAGAAGCUUCGGUGGAAGAUUACUAAUGAGAGUGGCGAACGGGUGAGUAACGCGUGAGCAACCUGCCUAUGACAGUGGGAUAGCCUCGGGAAACCGGGAUUAAUACCGCAUAAAAUCGUAGAAACACAUGUUUUAACGGUCAAAGAUUUAUCGGUCAUAGAUGGGCUCGCGUCUGAUUAGCUAGUUGGUGAGAUAACAGCCCACCAAGGCGACGAUCAGUAGCCGGUCUGAGAGGAUGAACGGCCACAUUGGAACUGAGACACGGUCCAAACUCCUACGGGAGGCAGCAGUGGGGAAUAUUGCACAAUGGGGGAAACCCUGAUGCAGCGACGCCGCGUGAACGAAGAAGGUAUUCGUAUCGUAAAGUUCUGUCCUAUGGGAAGAUAAUGACAGUACCAUAGAAGAAAGCUCCGGCUAAAUACGUGCCAGCAGCCGCGGUAAUACGUAUGGAGCGAGCGUUGUCCGGAAUUAUUGGGCGUAAAGGGUACGCAGGCGGUUUAAUAAGUCGAAUGUUAGAGAUCAGGGCUCAACCCCGUAAAGCAUUGGAAACUGAUAAACUUGAGUAGUGGAGAGGAAAGUGGAAUUCCUAGUGUAGUGGUGAAAUACGUAGAUAUUAGGAGGAAUACCAGUAGCGAAGGCGACUUUCUGGACACAAACUGACGCUGAGGUACGAAAGCGUGGGGAGC
rnacentral:rRNA from 2 species